AUGUCUAAAGUUGGACUCUUCCCAAUAAGAACUCUUUAAAGUAAGAAUGUUAUCUGAUAUUGAAAGAAUAAGCAUGAAUAUCAAAAGUGGCGUAAUGUCUCCUUGCAAAAAUGACACCAUGGAUUCCUGGAAUGAGCGCUGUGUAUAGAAAAAUGUUGCUCAGUACAUUUAUUGCAUUAGUCUGACUGAUAGUGAACUUUUAGCUUUUAGUCUUUUAGUUCGACUUAGACCGCUCCUAAUCAAGUUUUUCAGUGUAGAUAAUGUUGUUGGUGAUCGACCUCUCCGUGAGACUCAAACUAGCCUUAAAGGUUCUACAUCUGCUCUACAGUUUGCACAUUGAGCUUUGGAAGUAGUAGUUGAAUAGCAUAAACAUGUUGUAAGAAUCUAGGUGGUGUACAAACCUCGACAGAAGAAGACAGGAUGGAAAAAAGAUGAAGCUAUAAUGUCAAAAAAAUAGGGUGACCAUAUUCUGACUUUCCAAAAAGAGGACACGACUACUUGGGGGCGGAGUCAAGGAGUCGUACAAAAUUAAUUUUGAGAGCUUUUCGGGUCGGAUCGAGCGUCUUUUAUGUGCUUCUAACUCAAAACUUAAGUACAAAACCGCAGACAUGUGAAGGAUUUUAUAAACUUCCUCGGACAAGGCCGGACAGCCUGAACAGCCCCCCAAAAAGAGGACAUGUCCGGGUAAAAGAGGACAUAUGCUCACCCUAUCAUACAACUCCUCAGCCACUUGCUUACGCAUUUGUCGAUUGUUUUGGUAAGCUACAUAAUAGGUCAGCUCAUUGGGACAUAUUACCACCUCCUGUAGAGGACAUGGUCAUACUUCAGUCCAUAAAUCGAUUCUCUGUUUUUGCUGUAGACUAGCAUGACAACCGUAGUCCAUUUCAAUCACCUGACUGAGCUACCUGAAGUCCAGCUUUCUUCUCAUGGCAUGAAAGACAACAAGUCCCACCAUUGUGAACUUUUCUAUAAAAAAAAAAACUUUGCGUGACAACUUGUGUAACUCAAAAAAAAAUCUGCUGUCAAAAUUUGAUCACAACUCCAAAAAUAAAAUGCAACCCAGGUCACCAGCUUCAAAGAACAGCUCCUGCUCAUAUGGAGUCUUCAAAUACGUCAGAGCUGGUUUUUGAACUCACAAAACAGUAUUCAUGAAAAGAGGAGUUGGUGAAAGGCUCAUUGUUUACACGACAAGGUGGAGGUGUUACAUCCUGAUCUGACAAGGUGAACUUUUAUAUUCAGGCCAAAAAAGUAUCAAACCUCUCCGCCUGGUUUAAUCCUGACAGAGAGAGAAGACAAAUAGUGCUUUUAAAAAGUUUGAAAGCAUGACAUGAAAAAAAUUAGCCCACAGCUUUCAUUAAUGAAAGAUUGAAUUGCCUGGAAUUAGUUUCGUCAAGGAUACCGUGUCUCCAUGACAGACGAAGAUCCUAUCAGAGAAGGACAAGAGGAUGCAUGCGAGGGUUUAUUCUGAGUUUGAAGAGUUCGAUUGAAGUGCUUCUGCAGUUGACCUCGCUUUGAUGCCGCGCACUGCUGCUCAGGUCUGGAGGACAGUGGAUGUGUGUCACCUCUCUGGAGGCUGAUUUUUGGGUGGGUGGGAUUUGGGGGGGCUGCUGCUGAUGUUCUGUUGACAGUGUGUUCAGAAAAAAGGCAGCUGGGAAUGCAGAGCCAGCGCUCCUCUGUGUCUCGCUAAUCAGGCCUGUCCUGUUGUUAGCCGCUACCAGCCACAACCGCCUCGAUUCUCUCACGCAGCUGAACUUCAGACAAGCCGUGCUUUAAGUGGAUAAAAUGUAGCGCAGGGACUCCCCUUAUUCACUUGAUGGCAUAUGUGUCAUGUGACCAAUAUCAAUUUAUCAUCAGUUUUAUUUUUUAAAUACAGUCAAUUAAAGUAAUUUGAAGAUGAUGCUGAAAAAGUGCAAGUAUUUUUGUUUGUAUGCCUACCCAAUAUUCUGUUCCCUUUAAAACUCCUAUUCAUAUUUUUUUUUACAUCAAUGAAAUAGACUGAAAUUCCUAUUGAUGAUUUUUUAUGACAUACAAAAGGAAAUAUGACCAUUAGAGACAAGAUUUAUGAUAUUUAUUUUGUACUUUUUCAUGUCUGAAAGUCGUGCAAGGGAGGUAGGUGUCAGCCGAGAAGCUGAAGAAACCAGCCUGCACUUUUUCCACAUAGCAUAAUUGAAAAAGUGUCCAUCACAAAUCAGCAAGAUGAGAUUUUUCUAAGAGGACAAGAAAUGCGAAGACUGCUUUUUCUAUAUGGGGCACCAAAAUGGAUAAAAACCCAAAGGUCCUAACAGAAGCUUUGAGACAUUGAUGUCACUUUCUCCUUACUCAAAUUUUCCAUGUUGACCUAGCCAAGACUUAAGACCUACGGUAAUAUUAAUCAGAUGUGAUUUUAUCCUAACGAUGAGAUGUUGCUCCACUUAACUGUGCGUGGAAACAUACCUACUGUGUCAGGUUAGCGAUAAGUGAGGCACCAGUUCGUGUCAUAACUUGACCGACAGAUAUCACAGACUAUACGACGGUACCUCAUAAAUCAUCAUGGCUGAUGCAGUGAUAUUGGAGGAUACAGAGGCUGGGCCAGACGAGCUGGCAGCUUAGCCUGGUAGUUAAUCACCAGGUUGCUGAAGUGUGUCUACAACCCCUCACCAGUCUCUUGACGACUCAUCGUAUAGGCUGGGAUGUUCAAACUUUUCCACGGUGUCGUAGUUCCUGUGGAUUGCUUUGCCAUUUUAUUGAUGUAUUGUGACUUUUGUGCGUAACACACUCUGCACUCUCAAUGGUUUAUGUCCCAAAUGCAAGUGAAGAAGGUUGUGAGGCAUCUCAGAUUUGGCUUUGUCAUUCACUUUAAAACUAGGGGUGGGAUUCACUAGUGGCCCCAUGAUACGAUAUUAUCACGAUACUUGGGUUACGAUACAAUAUAAUUGCGUUUUUAAACGUUUUGUGAUACAGUGAGUACUGCGAUACCAUAUUUAGCAUUUCUCUUUCCCUAAUGUUUGUCAUUAUUUUAUUUUCAUGUAGUACGUCUUUCGAACCUCAUGUCAAGUCCAUCUCAUUUCUGCCCUGCUUGCAUUUCCAACAUCCUUCCCCAGGAGCUGCCAUGUUUGUUUCUCCAACUUUCACCUGCUCUAUGAUGUCGGCUCUUCCGUCCUCAUUGGACAAAGAAUUGAUUACAUUUUUCCAAUAUCAUAGACUUGAGUCCAUAUUAAUUAAUUUGAAAAAAAUUUGAUACUUAGGGGAUGAGACGAUAUGGUACAUCAUCAGACAAAAUAUCGCGAUACUAUGCCAUAUCGAUUUUUUCUCCCACCCCUGAUUUAAGAUGAUUAGUUUUCAGGGCCGGUGGGUCACAACACCCGUGUCUACUGUACCAGGCUGUAAUCAUGCUUAUGACCUUUGCAUUAGACCUCUUCAUAGCUCCAGUUAAAAACCCAAGGGAGAGAUUUUUAGAGGAGUACACCUUUAACCACUGAGACAGUUUGAAGUCGCUGCUGUAGACGGGGUAAUCAGACAAGGAGGCCUUGCCAGGCAGAGUCAGGAGCCUUGAAGGAGUGUAAUCUAAUCUGUGGCGGGUUGGAAGGAUGUUCUGCCAGUCAGCCACUCUCUUAUUAGGACAUGUGGGACCAGCUGUUUGUGUAUGUUUGUUCCUUCAACUCGCUUAACGCAUGAGAAGAGCGAUUAAAUUCUUGUUUAGAUGCAAAACACAGAGGUAUGCAAGUGCAUGCGAUUCCGUGCGCUCAAGCCAACAGCACCUGAGCGCUACUCUGAAAACACAACUUAGCAGGAGGAGAGUGCGUAACCACACUCUUUUGGCAAUGUCAUGUCUCUCCAGGCUGCGGUUCACUGGUCCUCUUGCCUUCCUCCUGGUUGUCAGACCUCCAGGCUUCUGUUAAUGAUAGCAGCGCAGGUCAUCAGUCAGACUUCACUUCACUCUGCCGGCCUUUCUGCUGAGUAGCUGCUCGGCUGCUCCAGUGAGCGUGUUAGCACUUGCUGACCUGACUUCACAUGUCAGCUAUUCAUCCCGAUUGUUCCGACUUGGUAUCACAAGCAGAAACUCCGGGUCUCAAUUUAUAACUUCUUUCUUUCCUUCCUUCCUGUACAAGUUUCCCACUAGAGCCUACAAGUUGUUCAAGUGCCCAAAGUUCAUAAAACUUUCAUUUGAUAUAAAUGAGCGUACAAAUCUUGAGGACUAACAAUCGGUGACAGCAGUGAUAUGGAACAACAAUACAGCAGGAAUCAGUCACAGAGUAUGAACAUGUUGGCGGUGCGAAGUUUUAUGGAGGUUCUUUGGCAGCACAAACUCAACCCUGACUCAUCAAAUAUAAUCUUUAGGCUUCAGAAUAUUACACUUCGGUUACCUCCUUAACUGCAGCUAUGAGGGCUGACAAUGUCCAUGCAAUGUGUAAUCACACCCCAAAAUAUUUCACUUUUUGGCUUUUACAUGUGCAACAGUAAUCAACAUAUAGCUGACAGUAGUUGCAUUCUUGUUUUUGCUGCUCACAAAUGAUAGCUCUUGCAAAAUGAGAUUAAGGUGAAAUCAGGGAAAAAGCACAACUUGUGUUGCAACAAAUGCAAGGGUGCACAUCCUUGCAGGGGUGAAUCCAAAGGGGUGCUGGAGGUGGCACAGGCCUGAUCUGAAAUAUAAUUCUUCAUCCAUGGUUGUUUUCCUUGCAGCUUUCUGUAAAUAGACGAGAUUUGAGAGUUUGUGUCAAAACAAACUACCUGGUCUAUGAUACAGAACGCUGCAAAGUAGCUUUCUUUGCAUUCAAAUGAAAAACACACCAAACACAAGUAAAAUCAUUCGCGCGAAUGAAUUACAUGUUAAGUCAAUGCAAAGACGUGAUUAGACGCUCGUAUGGCGCGAAUGACGCGAAUUGGGCGGGAGCUGAAAAGGUCUCAACUUGGCAAGCAGCACGAAGGUUGCCAGGUGAUGUAUGAAAACGGACGGUCGUUCACUGGUAUCUAAAAUGGAGGACAAACUGAUCUUGUCAGUGUGUGAGUGCUCCGAAUUAUAUGAUCCCUUUUCUUUCAAUUACCUAAACCGGGAUAAAAAGGAGCUCAUCUGAAG